rnacentral:lncRNA from 1 species
CAAUUUCAAUCCUCCCACUGACUUCACUAAGUCAGAUUAAAAAAGAUUUAAUUAAAGCUGGCAUUAGGAGCACCUAAAUCAGUCAAACUGAUUUACUUAAUGACAUGGGUGAGCCCUAAUCACCAAGUGAUCUAAUCAAAACCUAACUCACCAGGUUGGCCAGGUAAGUGAGAUCAGUGGUGGGGAUAUGCCAUUAACUCGUCAGAGAUCUAAUCAAUGCGAGUAGCUCCCACUUAAGAACCACUGGUCAAACUGCCGAACUUACCUUAGACACCAAUCGAUUCAUUAGUUUUAAUUUGAUCAACUUAGUAAAUAGGGUUCCACCGCGUAUCCAUGAAUUAAGUCCAUCUUAGUCUAGUUAAAGACAUGGACCCAUUCAACUACAACUAUUGGAGU